CCUACGGGAGGCUGCAGUGAGGAAUAUUGGUCAAUGGGCGCGAGCCUGAACCAGCCAAGUCGCGUGAGGGAGGACGGCCCUACGGGUUGUAAACCUCUUUUGCCGGGGAGCAACGGGCGUCACGUGUGGCGCCACUGAGAGUACCCGGAGGAAAAGGAUCGGCUAACUUCGGUCCCGCAGCCGCGGUAAUACGGAGGGUGCGAGGGUUAGCCGGAUUUAUUGGGUUUAAGGGGUGCGUAGGCGGGUCGUUAAGUCAGUGGUCAAAUUGAGGGGCUCAACCCCUUCCCGCCAUUGAAACUGGCGCUCUUGAGUGGAAGAGAAGUAUGCGGAAUGCGUGGUGUAGCGGUGAAAUGCAUAGAUAUCACGCAGAACCCCGAUUGCGAAGGCAGCAUGCCGGCUUCCGACUGACGCUGAAGCACGAAAGCGUGGGGAUCGAACAGGAUUAGAUACCCGUGUAGUC
rnacentral:rRNA from 1 species